AGAGUUUGAUCAUGGCUCAGAACGAACGCUGGCGGCAGGCCUCAAGCAUGCAAGUCUAGGGGGCGUAGCAAUACGUCACCGGCGGACGGGUGCGUAACACGUGGGAAUGUACUUACUGGUUCGGAACAACUCAGGGAAACUUGAGCUAAUACCGAAUGAGCCCGAAAGGGGAAAGAUUUAUCGCCAGUAAAUCAGCCCGCGUCCGAUUAGCUAGUUGGUGGGGUAAAGGCCCACCAAGGCGACGAUCGGUAGCUGUUCUGAGAGGAAGAUCAGCCACACUGGGACUGAGACACGGCCCAGACUCCUACGGGAGGCAGCAGUUGGGAAUCUUGGACAAUGGGGGAAACCCUGAUCCAGCCAUGCCGCGUGAGUGAUGAAGGCCUUAGGGUUGUAAAACUCUUUCGACGGGGACGAUAAUGACGGUACCCGUAGAAGAAGCUCCGGCUAACUUCGUGCCAGCAGCCGCGGUAAUACGAAGGGGGCUAGCGUUGUUCGGAAUUACUGGGCGUAAAGCGCGCGCAGGCGGUCUUCCAAGUCAGUGGUGAAAGCCCGGAGCUCAACUCCGGAACUGCCAUUGAAACUGUGAGACUAGAGUACGAGAGAGGUGAGUGGAAUUCCCAGUGUAGAGGUGAAAUUCGUAGAUAUUGGGAAGAACACCGGUGGCGAAGGCGGCUCACUGGCUCGUUACUGACGCUCAGGCGCGACAGCGUGGGGAUCAAACAGGAUUAGAUACCCUAGUAGUCC
rnacentral:rRNA from 1 species